rnacentral:ncRNA from 1 species
AAAGAUAGAGGCGCAGAAAACAUCAGUAGGAUCAUUUAGUUUAGCAAACAGUGAGGUGAUCUGAAAGGGAAUUCUGCCGAAAUGAAAAAGAAUGCUGAAGCUUUUUUGUUGGGAGUAUAGAUAAUAUCUGUACUACUGUCAUUGAUUACUUCAAUGGAGUGCUAUCUG